AACGAACGCUGGCGGCAGGCCUAACACAUGCAAGUCGAACGCCCUGGCAACAGGGAGUGGCAGACGGGUGAGUAACGCGUGGGAACGUGCCCUUCGGUUCGGAAUAACUCAGGGAAACUUGAGCUAAUACCGAAUACGUGCGAGAGCAGAAAGAUUUAUCGCCGAAGGAUCGGCCCGCGUCCGAUUAGCUAGUUGGUGAGGUAAUGGCUCACCAAGGCGACGAUCGGUAGCUGGUCUGAGAGGAUGAUAAGCCACACUGGGACUGAGACACGGCCCAGACUCCUACGGGAGGCAGCAGUGGGGAAUAUUGGACAAUGGGCGCAAGCCUGACGCAGCCAUGCCGCGUGAAUGAUGAAGGUCUUAGGAUUGUAAAAUUCUUUUACCAGGGACGAUAAUGACGGUACCUGGAGAAAAAGCUCCGGCUAACUUCGUGCCAGCCGCCGCCGUAA
rnacentral:rRNA from 1 species